UGGAGAUAGUGCUCCUGUCUUUUGCCGCAUGCUUCUUGGCACCAGGAGGCAGGAAAGAAUCGGUACCACGUACAGAUACGGAUUUAUUGAAAAUGCAGCACUAAUUAAAAACUCACCCAGCCUCUUGACGAGAAUUCUCCAGGCAGCAUGGAAUCAAGGAAACAGCACAGCCGCCUCAGCCAGAACACUGUCUCUUGCCAGCUGUGCCUCUUGAACAAGCUUUUCAACCUUGGAGCCAGUUCCCUUACAUUUCAACCAGAGUACCUUGUUGCAAGAACUGUGCCAACUCUGGCUCUAACUAUUCCAGAACUGGAAUUUGCUGAAAAAAAUACUGUGUUGAUGACUCUCAGAACUGACAGAAGCCAAAGAGCCUGACUUGGAAAUUCAAGUGGAAACCAAGGGCUGUUAAAAGAACAACAACCCCCAGACCAUCUGGUGAGAAGGUCUAACCUCUGGACACUGUACCACUAAGAGCCACCAUUAGGCACAUCACCACUGCCACAAAGGAUGUCUAACCUUCCCUCCAUCUUUGUGUCUUAUACUGCAAAUUCCAAGAGGCAGCAGCACCCAGUAGACCAAUCUUAGGUCACACCUGAGACACAACCAAGUUUUCAUUGCUGUGGUGUACACAGUGUGAUUUGCAGCAUUCCUGGUCACAGAUGCUCUCUAUAGCGAGGGAACCAUCCCAAACAGGAAGCAGGUCAGACACCGGACCACUGGUCUCCCCAUCUCCUUGAUGAAAUCACAUGGAUAAUAGAGAGCAUUGAAAGAUUUAUUUGUU